GAGGCGUAACCCAAGCGAGUGUCCUGGAUCUGCAGCAGGUUUCACUGGCUACAGCGGAGAACCUGUUCCCCUGGGCCUCAGCUCUGCAGGGGGGAGGAAAUAAAAAUAGCCCAGGAGAGAGGCCAGCGACUGGGCUGUGGACAGCGUGCAUGCCUUUCGCAUUACUCUCUUCGGAUUGCCCUGAGAGGUCCUGGGUGCCAGGCCCUCGGCUGGGCCCCAGGAGGCAAAGCCCAGCAAGCAGGGCCCCGCCUCCUGGGAGAGGCAGAAGCUCGCUCCAGAACCGCAGAGAGAUUUGAGUGAGACCUUUCACCCGCUCCCUCCUCCCAACGUGAAAGCUUCCAGAAGAGUCACGUUGGAGAAAACGGUAGCUAAGCAGAGGUGCCGGGCCUUCCAGGAAGUGGCAAAGGCUAGCAGAGUGACAAAUGUGAUCCGGGAGAGAAAAUCAAAGGGCCAGGGGCACACGGGCAGGAUGCGCAAUCCUGGUUCGGAGCCAAGAGCUUCAGAACUGUAGGGCAGUGGGGAGCUCAGGGAGGUUGAGGAGCAGAGGGUGUGGCAAUCUCACGUAUGCCAUCACAAGAUCCAAUUACCAUAACCUCCAUCGGAUACCUACCUCCCUUUAGCCUCUAGAGUUCCUGGGGCGGAGAUCUCACAUCUUUGCCGGGUCAGUAUUGUGGAAACUUGCUUGCUUCCAACUUACCACCCCCAACACAUGCUUGUUUAGUGGUCAGAUUCUGAGGGCCUCAAGCUAAGAUACCUUACCUUGGUCCUGGUCACAUGCAGGGCUCCACAUCCUCCACAGGGUCUGGGCUCCAAAGAUCUCUGCAGGUGGGUAAAGGGGUUAGCAAGGCAGAAAGACAGAAGAGGGAAUGAGCUACUUAAAAUAGUGCAGAGAGAGUCUUUGUAACGAUAGCGAGGGCCAGCCAUGGCUUACGAAUAAGGUAGCUGCAGGGUAGAAGGGGAUGCGGGGAAGGAGGCCGAAAGCUUCCUUUCUGGGUCCUGGAUGGGCCUUUGUUUGCUACUAAUGACCAAGUAAUUGUGAGCCGCGGAUGAGAGAAUGCCAGAUGAUGAAUAAACAUCCCCUAAGGUCCCCAGUCACCAGGAGUACACAGGGCCUGUGUGGCAGUGGCAGGGAUCUCGGCUUUAGGUCCGGAUUACUAAACAAGUAAUGUGUUUCCGAGAAAUCUUGUCACUGUGUAACCAAGAUGGAAGAACUUUUCAAAUGGCAAGCAUUCCUGACUUGUUUCCACAGAUAGGCAGGGAGGGAGGGCAGUAGAGGUCCAUUCAGUUCCUCCUUUGUUGGAUGAGGUCUGGCAGCCUCCUCAGGAGGCUCUUGGGACAGCUUACUAAUGGAAAUUUGAAAGAGGAAGCUGUGAGACAGAGGGCAGGGCCCUUCCUCAAUGGCCUCCAAGUCUGCUAAUCUCUGACUAGCUGCCUAAUGUUCUCUGCCGGAGAGUUGACACCUUGAAGUCUUUUAGGAGAUGGAUGGGCAGUCAUCUGACUGCUCCUGAUUGACAGCUUUAGGGCGUCUGUUCUUGCUGAUUUUCAGGUACUGGAAGGUGGAGUUCAAUUGCUACUGGAUUAUCAGAGUGUCAGUGGGCUGCAAACAAGGCAGUAGUUGAGUACAGGAGGCUCAGAGAUUAAUAGAUGAAUAGAUCACUACUAGAUUUUAACAGACUAAACCCAUUUUUACGACAAAGAUCCAGGUUUAGAGCUGUUCACGGAUGGGAUGGUGCUAUUGGGGGUGGCCGUAGUCUGAGUUGUUAGACUGAGUUGCAGAUAAGAGCAGAAUUAUUAUAAAGAUCUGAGUUGCUGACAAGAGCAGAGUUAUCGGAAAUAUAUGAACAGCAGCAUGACCAUGUCAGGAAAAACACGAGGCUCUUUUGACUUGGUUACAGCUUGGGUGGCCAUGACCCCUCCACCUGGCACAUCAGCAGCCCUUCUGGAGACAGGUAAAGCCAUAUCCAUUGCUCAUUUGUUUUAUAUUGUUACCAAUUGUUUUAACUUUGGUUACACUUCCCUGCUGGGAGGCUAAGACCACGCAGGUGGCCACAAUCACUCACCCUUUCCUAUCAGGGCCACGUGAGGGUCUGAGCCUCAGGGACCUCCUGUCCUCAUGGACAUGGGGUCCAUGUGGUGGGGUCUCCACAGUCUUCCUGAACAAGAUGGCAGGAAACUCAUUAGGGCUGACCUGGGACCUAACUGAUGUUGGACGGCAAAGGGGCAAAAUAGUGUCCCUCCUAAUCCCUCUGUCUACAUUGGUGUAGGCCUUGGAAUAUAAAUUGUUGAAAACCCAGGAGGUCAGCUAUACUCAUCUGGCACUUUUAAACUUCUGUGUAAUGUAUAGAUAAAGCUUACCAUUGAAUACUUUUAAAUAAAUUUCAAACAGAAUACA
rnacentral:lncRNA from 1 species